UAUAGCUAACCAUCAUCUACUCCAUGGCCCUCUGCGUUUGCUGAAGACAGAACCGCAAAGCAGGACCCGACAGGAUUCUCCCCGCCUCUUCAGAGACUAUGUUUACAAAGGUCACAAUCAACAUUCAUUGCUGUCGGUGGGUUGAACUGUGUAGAAAAGCUCACUGAACAAUGAAUGCAACUGUGGCCCCGCUUUUUGCUGUCGCAAUCAACAGACGUUCCCUCCCUAAUAGAGGUCCUGGAGGUAUUAACGCCGUUUCUCGGUUUAACUUCUGCUGUCUGAACUUUCAGGUUUGUUUAUUCAAUUCAUAUCAAGUCCUAUUUCUGUGAGGAAGUCACUAAUUUAUAUAAGAAUACUGCUUUUCUAUACUCCUGGGGGUUACAAAUGGGGCAUUUCUUAAAAAUGCUAAAGUGUUGGAUGCCCAGAAUCAACUGUGUAGCCCUGGGUUGGCACGGCUUCCUGCUCUGCUGUGCUGGUGGGAGGAAGAACCAAAGAAAUAUCUUACUUCCUGCCCCGUUAUCCGUCACAUUGUUACACAGAAAAUAACCAUCCCCUCAUCUUUCAUUAGAUUUCUUGGUCAAAAUGGGCUUGAAGCAAGAGGGAAUUCUUUUGCUCUGCAUAAAGAAUCGCUGAAAUGGCUCUACUCUCUAUGGAAUUGGUAGGCAGAGGGAUAGUACCUCAAUAGCCAAGUACUUUGUUAUCCAGGGGCUCAUUAUAAUCAUGCAGUAGAUUUGUUUCCCCAGAGAGACCUCAGAUUUAAGAUUAUAGUUCAUCAUCUUUAUUUACCCUCUACUUUCUUCUGAAAUGGUAGACUUGAUUCCAGGGACUGUCUUCAAGCAAGUGUGUGUGUGUGUGUGUGUGUGUGUGUGUGUGUGUGUGUGUUUCCUAACUAGUUUGGCUCUAUAAUUUCAAAAAGAACAUCUGUCAUUAAGGUUCAUCACCUCCAAUAGUAAGUACAGUGGUUGGAGUUAAUAUUUAUAACAGGAUGUUCAGCAUACAGUGUGUACAUGGUACCUAGUACAUGGUACCUAAUAGAUUUUAAUUCGUUGGGAAAAAUCUAUCAAACAUAUUGUCCUUUCUCUCUCUUGAUCAGUUUAUUAUGAUAUACAUUCAACUCCCACUACAGAAAUCCAUUCCUGGGACCUUGCUCUAGUGUUCAGAAUAUUCAUUCCCACAGUAUUUUACGUAGUUAGUUCACAAGUGCCUGCCUUGCUUGGGGCAUCUCUAUCUAUCAUAACUCCUUUCUCCCACCGUCUGUUUCGUUCCAUUUAACGUAUGACAAGGCUCUAAUCUCAACAAAAAACAAGAAGUUCAAAAAAAAGUUUCUAUUCCUGCUUCAUUCACUGAACAGCCCCCUUCUUUUUUCUAUCUUAAAAAGCUAUGAGUUUGGAAACGUCACUUAAUUAGUAACCUGCAGAAGAGUCUCUAUUUGUGUGUUCUCUCAUUACUUCUCUUCAGCCCACAAUUUGACAUCUUGAAACAUUGCUCUCUCCCAAUUGUGCAGAUUUUUUUUUUAAUGGAAGCUGGUCUUGGUGAAACCAAAUCACCAGUAUUAUUCCACCCCUGGUAGCAAACUUCCUACUCUUCUUCCAUAAAAUCAUUCCCUUUAAGUUCCAUAUUUAAGUGGAUCCUGCGGCACUGGCCUCUAUUUCAUUGAUUAUAAAUUCAUCCAGGUAUAUAUUUGUUGAUAAACUUUUCUAAGCCUGGAUAGUAUUUCAUUUCAUAUGUGUAUUUGUGUGUGUAUGUGUGUGUGUGUGUAUUCGUAUAUAUGCUAAGGUAAUGGAGAUAUGUAGAUAUAUAGGUAUAUGUGUGUGUAUACAUAUAUGUGUAUAUAUAUAUGUGUGUGUGUGUGUGUGUGUGUGUGUGUGUGUAUACCUAUGAAAACAUCCAUAAUGUCAGAAUAUUUUCUCUACUCAUUCAUUGAUUGAAGGACACUUUGUUACCAAAGCUUGGCUAUUAUCAAUAAUGUUGAAAUGAAGAGAGUACAAAUACCUCUUUGAUAUACAUAUCUCAGUACACACACACACACACACACACACACACACACAGAGGAUGUAGGGAUGUGAGGACAUAUAAUUUAGGGAUACUAUUUUCAUUUUUUGGAAGACAUGUCAUCCGGUUUUCCCAAAUAGUUGCACUAAUUUACAUCUAGCGUUCACAGUGGUUUCCUGUGUCUUUAUUCCUUUCCAUUACCCUCUUAGCUCUUGUCACUUGCUACCAUGUAUUUGAUAAUGUCCAUUCUAACAGGGGGUAGGCAUAAAAUGAUUAUGAUUUCAAUGUGCAUUUACCUGAUGGGGUGACAAAAUUUUUCCACAUAUUUGCACUUUAAAUUUUUAGUACAUUAUUUAUUAUUAUUUAUGUUUCUUUAAAACAGUCUGAGUGUUUGAUGUGAAUGAUAUAAAAGUCAAUUUGUAAAAAAAAAUUCUUAAGAUUGUACUGUUCAUGUAUAUAGGCUUGAAUUCAAAGCAUAAUAAAAUAUUAAAUUUUAAUUACUCAUUUGAGUUUGACUUUUUAUGAGCUACACGAACUAUUAUCACAUGAAUUCACUAUGUAAUGGUGAGUUUUUAGAAAUUUAUGAAUUACAAGUCUUACUGAUUCUUGAUGGGAAGAUAAGUACAAAAUUCAUAUCCCAGGUUGUACUUCUAAAGACGGCGAUUUUUGAGGCAGCAUCUCCAUGUGUGGACCAUAUAGGUCUGGUGGCUUACUCUGUUCUCAGCUUCCAGAGUCCUAGCAUCACAGCUUUUUAUGACAUCAUGCUUAUGAUGUAAUUAUAAGUAAUAGUAGGCAGUCAUUGUCCAAGUUGUAAUGCCAAGAUAUGAUAAGGAAUAUAUACAGGAAAACAAAAUGUUCUCAAAAUUCAAAGGCAUUCUUAGGCUGUUUAGUUAUAUUUCAUAACUCUUUCUUCUUCUUUGGGUAGUUCAAAAAAGAGAUCAUCUCAUUUUCAUGUGUUGUGUUCUCUCAAGUACAGUUAUUGACAAAUUCACUUAGUUAAAAUCUCUAUUGUUGGGUAGAUGUUUUCUGAGAAGUUUUCUCAUGGGGCUGGGGAGAUGGCUCAGUGAUUAAGAACACUGCUAUUCUUUCAACAGGACUUGCCUGGAACCCAUAUCAGGUAGCUCCUAGCAGCCUACAAGUCAAAUUCUGGGCAAUUGGAGUCCCUUUCUGACCUCCAUAAGAACCUGUAUAUAUGUGGCAUAGCUCCAUAAAUACACAUACACAUGUGCAUGUACAUACAUAUACACACACAAAAAGUGUGCUCCUUUUUAUAUUGCUGUGUUUUGUUUCAAGCCACAAUAUUUGCCUCUUUGCUGUCCUGAACACUAAAAACUUUGGUUGAAAAAGAAAGAAGGAAAGAAAGAAAGAAAGAAAGAAAGAAAGAAAGAAAGAAAGAAAGAAAGAAAGAAAGGAA
ensembl:lincRNA A430106G13Rik RIKEN cDNA A430106G13 gene